AAUCUUUGUGGUUUGGGUCAAUCUUAGUGGCUUUAGCCAAAUUUGUGUGGAGAAAGCUCUUCACCAAGUAAGCUCUUAGUUUGAUUUUGUAAUUUUCUAAUAUGAAGAUUAGUAGAUUGAUCAGCAUUGUCGGAAGAUGUAGGUUCCUUGAAGAAGAAUAUAUGCUUCCCUUGAAAUUAGUAUGUAUAGUGAUGAAGAAAUGAGAGUUUUGGAUCGAAUCAAAGAUUUAGCAGAAAUUAAGUUUAAAGUAAUUAGUACUUGGCAUCUACUACAUGGAUGCCUAGUAACUGGGAUGAAAAUGACUUUGAUGAAGAAGAGGACAAAAAAGAAGAUAACCACAAAGAAAUGCAUCUCAAUGUGGAGAACAUAUGUUAUAAGGGUUACCACAAAAUUGAGUAAGGAAGCUGUAAUGGCAAAGCUGAAGCAAAGGAAGUAUAGUUCCUUCAUCAUAGUUGUAUUUGUCAAGUGGAGUAUGCAUUAGACAAAAAAAAAAAAAAAAAAAGAAGCAAGGGAAAAAGAAAAACUCAAAUGCCUUCUACAAUGGCUUGUCUUGGGGAACUUAUCCCUCAUAAGCAUAGUCAUGUGGCUUCCAUGAUUGAGAGAGACAUUAUUGACUUCCUAGUUUUCUUGCCAUCUUUGCCAUUCAUUUCUUCUAUGUGAAUUUUACUUCAGUGGCUUAUGAAAACACAAGGAAGUAUUGUAAUAGUAGUUUAAUGAACUAUGUUGGCAUUUGUUGACUUGUUACUUAUUUCUUAAAAUUUUCAACUGAAUAGAAAAAAACCAAACUAUUUGAAUUUUUUUAA